GUCGAACGGAAAGGCCUCUUCGGAGGUACUCGAGUGGCGAACGGGUGAGUAACACGUGGGUAAUCUGCCCUGCACUUCGGGAUAAGCCUGGGAAACUGGGUCUAAUACUGAAUAUGACCACGAGGCGCAUGCCUUGUGGUGGAAAGCUUUUGCGGUGUGGGAUGGGCCCGCGGCCUAUCAGCUUGUUGGUGGGGUGACGGCCUACCAAGGCGACGACGGGUAGCCGGCCUGAGAGGGUGUCCGGCCACACUGGGACUGAGAUACGGCCCAGACUCCUACGGGAGGCAGCAGUGGGGAAUAUUGCACAAUGGGCGCAAGCCUGAUGCAGCGACGCCGCGUGGGGGAUGACGGCCUUCGGGUUGUAAACCUCUUUCAGCAGGGACGAAGCGCAAGUGACGGUACCUGCAGAAGAAGCACCGGCCAACUACG
rnacentral:rRNA from 1 species